AUUGAACGCUGGCGGCAUGCUUUACACAUGCAAGUCGAACGGUAACAGGGAGCUUGCUCCGCUGACGAGUGGCGAACGGGUGAGUAAUGCGUCGGAACGUGCCGAGUAGUGGGGGAUAACGCAUCGAAAGGUGUGCUAAUACCGCAUACGUACUGAGGUAGAAAGUGGGGGACCUUCGGGCCUCGCGCUAUUCGAGCGGCCGACGUCUGAUUAGCUAGUUGGUGAGGUAAAGGCUCACCAAGGCGACGAUCAGUAGCGGGUCUGAGAGGAUGGUCGGCCAAACGGGGACUGAGACACGGCCCAGACUCCUACGGGAGGAAGCAGUGGGGAAUUUUGGACAAUGGGCGCAAGCCUGAUCCAGCCAUGCCGCGUGUCUGAAGAAGGCCUUCGGGUUGUAAAGGACUUUUGUCCGGGAGCAAAUGCUGGUGGCUAACAUCCACCGGAGCUGAGAGUACCGGAAGAAUAAGCACCGGCUAACUACGUGCCAGCCGCCGCAGUAAGAC
rnacentral:rRNA from 1 species